rnacentral:rRNA from 1 species
CAGCCGCCGCGGUAAUACGAAGGGGGCUAGCGUUGUUCGGAUUUACUGGGCGUAAAGCGCACGUAGGCGGACUUUUAAGUCAGGGGUGAAAUCCCGGGGCUCAACCCCGGAACUGCCUUUGAUACUGGAAGUCUUGAGUAUGGUAGAGGUGAGUGGAAUUCCGAGUGUAGAGGUGAAAUUCGUAGAUAUUCGGAGGAACACCAGUGGCGAAGGCGGCUCACUGGACCAUUACUGACGCUGAGUUGCGAAAGCGUGGGGAGCAAACAGGAUUAGAUACCCCCGUAGUCCCUGUCUCUUAUAC